GCAGUCGAGCGCACCCUUCGGGGCGAGCGGCGGACGGGUUAGUAACGCGUGGGAACAUACCCUUUUCUAUGGAAUAGCCUUUGGAAACGAAGAGUAAUACCAUAUACGCCCUUCGGGGGAAAGAUUUAUCGGAGAAGGAUUGGCCCGCGUAAGAUUAGAUAGUUGGUGGGGUAAUGGCCUACCAAGUCUACGAUCUUUAGCUGGUUUUAGAGGAUGAUCAGCAACACUGGGACUGAGACACGGCCCAGACUCCUACGGGAGGCAGCAGUGGGGAAUCUUAGACAAUGGGCGCAAGCCUGAUCUAGCCAUGCCGCGUGUGUGAUGAAGGCCUUAGGGUCGUAAAGCACUUUCGCCAGAGAUGAUAAUGACAGUAUCUGGUAAAGAAACCCCGGCUAACUCCGUGCCAGCAGCCGCGGUAAUACGGAGGGGGUUAGCGUUGUUCGGAAUUACUGGGCGUAAAGCGUACGUAGGCGGAUCAGAAAGUAGGGGGUGAAAUCCCGAGGCUCAACCUCGGAACUGCCUCCUAAACUCCUGGUCUUGAGUUCGAGAGAGGUGAGUGGAAUUCCAAGUGUAGAGGUGAAAUUCGUAGAUAUUUGGAGGAACACCAGUGGCGAAGGCGGCUCA
rnacentral:rRNA from 1 species